rnacentral:rRNA from 1 species
GCGUGUGUGAAGAAGGCCUUUUGGUUGUAAAGCACUUUAAGCGAGGAGGAGGAGCUCUAGACUAAUACUCUAGAUGCUUGGACGUUACUCGCAGAAUAAGCACCGGCUAACUCUGUGCCAGCAGCCGCGGUAAUACAGAGGGUGCAAGCGUUAAUCGGAUUUACUGGGCGUAAAGCGUGCGUAGGUGGUCUUUUAAGUCGGAUGUGAAAUCCCUGAGCUUAACUUAGGAAUUGCAUUCGAUACUGGGAGACUAGAGUAUGGGAGAGGAUGGUAGAAUUCCAGGUGUAGCGGUGAAAUGCGUAGAGAUCUGGAGGAAUACCGAUGGCGAAGGCAGCCAUCUGGCCUAAUACUGACACUGAGGUACGAAAGCAUGGGGAGCAAACAGGAUUAGAUACCCUGGUAGUCCAUGCCGUAAACGAUGUCUACUAGCCGUUGGGGCCUUUGAGGCUUUAGUGGCGCAGCUAACGCGAUAAGUAGACCGCCUGGGGAGUACGGUCGCAAGACU